AGAGUUUGAUCCUGGCUCAGAAGGAACGCUGGCAGCGUGCAUAACACAUGCAAGUCGAACGGGAUUAUUAUCUUCGGAUGAUAUGAGAGUGGCGAACGGGUGAGUAACACGUAAGAAUCUACCUUUAGGACGGGGAUAACUUCUGGAAACGGAUGCUAAUACCCGAUAUGCUGUGGAGUGAAAGGAAUUUCGCCUAAAGAUGAUCUUGCGUCUGAUUAGCUAGAUAGUGUGGUAAUGGCGCACUAUGGUGACGAUCAGUAGCUGGUCUGAGAGGAUGGACAGCCACAUUGGAACUGAGACACGGUCCAAACUCCUACGGGAGGCAGCAGUGGGGAAUUUUCCGCAAUGGGCGAAAGCCUGACGGAGCGACGCUGCGUGAAGGAUGACGGCCUGCGGGUUGUAAACUUCUUUUCUCGAAGAAGAAUAAAUGACGGUAUUCGAGGAAUAAGCAUCGGCUAACUCUGUGCCAGCAGCCGCGGUAAGACAGAGGAUGCAAGUGUUAUUCGGAUUGAUUGGGCGUAAAGCGUCUGUAGGCGGUUUGGAAAGUCUUUUGUGAAAUUCUUCAGCUCAACUGGGGGUCCGCAAAAGAAACUUCUAGGCUUGAGGGAAGUAGAGGUACAGGGAAUUUCCGGUGGAGCGGUGAAAUGCGUAGAUAUCGGAAGGAACACCAAUAUGGCGAAAGCACUGUACUGGGCUUUACCUGACGCUAAGAGACGAAAGCUAAAGGAGUGAUUAGGAUUAGAUACCCUAGUAAUUUUAGCCGUAAACGAUGGAAACUCACUGCCGAGCCGGUAUUCGGAGCGGUGGUCAAGCUAACGCGUGAAGUUUCCCGCCUGGGGACUACGCAUGCAAAUGUGAAACUCAAAGGAAUUGACGGGGACCCGCACAAGCGGUGGAGUAUGUGGUUUAAUUCGAUGCAACGCGAAAAACCUUACCAAGGUUUGAAAUCAUUUCAAAACUCUUUGAAAGAAGAGCCUCCUUCGGGAUGGAAUGACAGGUGGUGCAUGGCUGUCGUCAGCUCGUGU
rnacentral:rRNA from 1 species